UACGGAGGGUGCAAGCGUUAUCCGGAUUCACUGGGUUUAAAGGGUGCGUAGGCGGGCAGGUAAGUCAGUGGUGAAAUCCUGGGGCUUAACCCCAGAACUGCCGUUGAUACUAUCUGUCUUGAAUCCUGUGGAGGAGAGCGGAAUAUGUCAUGUAGCGGUGAAAUGCUUAGAUAUGACAUAGAACACCAAUUGCGAAGGCAGCUCACUACGCAGGCAUUGACGCUGAGGCACGAAAGCGUGGGGAUCAAACAGG
rnacentral:rRNA from 1 species